GACGAACGCUGGCGGCGUGCUUAACACAUGCAAGUCGAACGGAAAGGCGCUGCUUUUUUGGGGGGCUCGGGUGGCGAAGGGAAGAGUAACAUGAGAGUAACCUGCCCUGGACUCUGGGAUAACUUAACGAAACUGGGGCUAGUACAGUAUAGGAGCUCCUGCUGCUGGGUGGGGGUUGGAAAGGUUCGGCCGUUGGGUAGGGGGUGGCGGCUUGUCAGGCCGUUCGGGGGGUAGUGGCUUACCCAGGCUUGGAAGGGUGGCCGGCCUGAGAGGGUUAGCGGCCACACUGGGACUGAGAUGCGGCCCAGACUUCUACAGUAGGCAGCAGUGGGGAAUAGUGUACUACGGGCGGAAGGCUUAUGCAGUAGCGCCGUGCGCGUGAUGACGGUCUUCGGGUUGUGAAGCGCUUCCGCCUGGUAUGAAGCGUGGGUGACGGUAAUUGGUAAAGAAGCACCGGCUAACUACGUG
rnacentral:rRNA from 1 species